GUUCAAGCUCAUAUUAGAUGUGUUGUAUUUCUUAUCUUUAUCUCUUCUGUUGCAAGUUCUUAUCUUUGUACAGCCUUGUAUAUAUAUACAUCUCAUGUAUGAUAUCAUAUAUAUGCACUUCUCUUUUUCGGCAAUCAUGAGUACUUCUUCUGCUACCUUUCUUUCGAUCCCUAUUUCUUUUUCUCCUUCAUCUCCUCCACCGAAAACUAUUGCCAAUCCUACCAACAAUACGGAACAAAUCUUCAACCCUGCAUAUGAAUCUUGGUUGAAGAAAGACCAAACGCCUUUAACAUGGUUUCUCUCCUUUCUCACUAAAGAAAUUUU
rnacentral:misc_RNA from 1 species